AAAAAUGCUAUUUACAGGUGUUGGUAGUGACUGUGUUUGUAGUGUGAAACUAAUAUGCCAGAGUGAUGUUGUCUGUGUGUGUUUUGUUUCAGGAAAGUGCAGGAGCAGAAUAAGAAGGUGGUUGUGGUGGGAUGUGUGUAGCAGGCCCAGCCCACAGACUACCUGAAAGACCUGAGCAUCACCGGGGUCACUCCAUGUGUCUGCUGGGUCAGAAGAAGGAGAAAGGCAAGUGUCUGGGAGGAGUGCGGCUGGAUCUGCCCGAGAUCAGGAAGAACCCGCUUGUUGAAAUCAUUUCCAUCAAUACAGGGUAAGAUGUGCAUGGACAAACACACUUAGGUCCCUGUGAUUCCUGCUCUGUGGAAAACAUGGACAGAAUCCAGUCAUAAAAAUGGAAUUUACAGUAUAAUGUGAAAUGUCACUGAAUUUGCCCAAUUUUGAAUGAAUAAAUCAAAAGUAGGUCAGUACACUUUAAUUUAAACAAGAUAUGGACUAGUGUCUGUGAACAUUAAGCCGCAAAAGACUGCUAAAAUAUGUAUCCUGCAUGUUCUGCAUGUCUGUGUGUGAAUGAACAGUGUGUCGUUUACUACACACAUAUAUUUUCACUCUGCCACUCCAAUAUAUGAGUACAUGAAGACAUGAACAUAAUCUCUAGAACUGCUCUGAGAGGUACUUCAUAAAAUAAAAUGGAUUUUAUAGGGCCCUGCACAAUCAUUAAAGAUCACCGGAGGAUUCAGAUUCAGCUGAAUGCUCACAUUGAUGUAAUGUGACCUGACUGUCAUCAUCCAAACUCACUCUGUGUGUGUGUGUACUGAUAUUCCCUACAUUAUGCGAGCCAAAUGUCCUCCCAAAGUAUAGUAACAACAGUAAAUUUUUAAAGUAUUUUUAAAAUACUUUUUUUAUUUUUAUUUUUAGGGAAACUAUCUUCUAAAUCACACAGAAUGAAGUGUUUUUGAAAUAUAAAAUUGCCUGUAGUUUUGUGUGAGGGGCAGGUUCAGGGUAAGGGCAUAGAAAAUACAGUUUGGACAGUAGAAGAACCAUUAUGCCUAUGGAAUGAACUAGUGUUAAUUUUAUCAGCUAUUUUCAUUUUAGUCUUAGUCUUAGUCCCAUGUUAAAAUGUCCUUUUUAGUUUUUAUCAUAUUAAGUCAACCAUAUCCUGUUUAGUUUUAGUCAAGUUUUAGUCAACUAAAAGUCUCAACAUUUUAGUCUAAUUUUAGUCCAAGAGAACCUGAGAUUUUGCUAAUAAGAUUUUUCUUAAUUAACCGUACAGUAUUAAUUUUGGUAGCCAUUUUUAAUUUAGUCUUAGUCUUACUCAAAUGUACAUUUUAGUAUAAUGGUUAAACUGAUAAGAAAUAUUUUUGCUCAAAAUGAUAAUAGUAAUGAUUGUUGUCAUUUGAGAAAUUUUCUUUUGCAUUUCAGGUAUUGCACUUUCACCAGUAAGCAAAAUCAAUAGAAUGUGGACUAAUAUAUGGUGUAUUUUACCUCAUCUAGUGCAGUGGUUCUCAACCACAUUCCUGGAGGACCCCCA
rnacentral:lncRNA from 12 species